rnacentral:rRNA from 1 species
UACGAAGGGGGCUAGCGUUGUUCGGAAUUACUGGGCGUAAAGCGCACGUAGGCGGAUACUUAAGUCAGGGGUGAAAUCCCGGGGCUCAACCCCGGAACUGCCUUUGAUACUGGGUAUCUCGAGUCCGGAAGAGGUGAGUGGAAUUCCGAGUGUAGAGGUGAAAAUUCGUAGAUAUUCGGAGGAACACCAGUGGCGAAGGCGGCUCACUGGUCCGGUACUGACGCUGAGGUGCGAAAGCGUGGGGAGCAAACAGGG